AACUAUACACAGGUGUCUGGUGUGUAAACUAUACACAGGUGUCUGGUGUGUAAAUACACACAGGUGUCUGGUGUGUAAACUAUACACAGGUGUCUGGUGUGUAAACUAUACACAGGUGUCUGGUGUGUAAUACACAGGUGUCUGGUGUGUAAACUAUACACAGGUGUCUGGUGUGUAAAUUAUAUACAGGUGUCCAAUAGAGAAACAUAAAACAAAUUUCAAAGAAACGUUUAUUUUUCAUAUUCAUAGAUAUUGAAACAACAAAUGCUACCACUUCGAUUGUAUGGAACAGAUAUAUAAUUCCCAUGUUCUCAAUCUUUAUUAUCUGAUGAAUAUUGACAAAUGCCAAACAAUUCAUUAACAGCAUUAUUUAUUAGUGUAAAAGAAAAAAACGUACAGAUAAAUGCAAAGAGUUAAUGUGUGUUCUAUUUGUGAUGUUGACACAAAAUAAACACUGCAGAUUACAAAGUUGUGGAGUAGAAAAAUAUGAAAAACUUAAAAUGGUGUAAAAACAUAAAUCAACAGGUGUGCAA